CAAUAGCGUAUAUUAAAGUUGUUGCAGUUAAAAAGCUCGUAGUUGGACUUCUGGCAGGGCGCCGCGUGCCACAGUAGUGUGCACAAGGGCCCGGCCAUCCUUCUGUAAACGUCGGGGAAGUUUAUUCGUCCGCGGCGGGAUCAGUUAAUUUACCUUGAGAAAAUUAGAGUGUUCAAAGCAGGCUUAUGCCGUUGAAUAUAUUAGCAUGGAAUAAUAAGAUAGGACUUUGGUACUAUUUUGUUGGUUUGAGAACCAAGGUAAUGAUCAAUAGGGACAGUUGGGGGUAUUCGUAUUCAGUUGUCAGAGGUGAAAUUCUUAGAUUUCCGGAAGACGAACUACUGCGAAAGCAUUUACCAAGGAUGUUUUCAUUAAUCAAGAACGAAAGUAUGGGGAUCGAAGACGAUUAGAUACCGU
rnacentral:rRNA from 1 species